AUACAUAUAUAUAUAUACGUACAUGUGUAUAUAUACACACACAUGUACGUAUAUAUGUAUAUGUACA
rnacentral:pre_miRNA from 10 species